AUUGAACGCUGGCGGCAGGCCUAACACAUGCAAGUCGAACGAGUGGCGGACGGGUGAGUAAUGUUUGGGAAUCUGCCCUAUGGAGGGGGAUAACGACGGGAAACUGUGGCUAAUACCGCGUACCAUCGGAUGAGCCCAUGUGGGAUUAGGUAGUUGGUGGGGUAAUGGCCGACCAAGGCGACGAUCUCUAGCUGGUCUGAGAGGAUGACAAGCAACACCGGGACUGAGACACGGCCCGGACUCCUACGGGAGGCAGCAGUGGGGAAUAUUGCACAAUGGGGGCAACCCUGACGCAGCCAUGCCGCGUGAAUGAAGAAGGCCUUCGGGUUAUAAAGUACUUUCGGUGGCGAGGCGUUAAUCGCAGAAGAAGCACCGGCUAACUCCGUGCCAGCAGCCGCGGUAAUAC
rnacentral:rRNA from 1 species